UCUCCCCUCCCCUUCCCUUCUCUGUCCCCUCCCCUUCCCUGUCCCACCUCUGAGCUCACCUUGAGGAUCCAGCUCCUGCUCUCUGUACCCUAAUCUUAUUAAAUCAAUGGCCAACUGAUUUCUCUUCCUGCCUCUAACCUUAAUUCCCACUUCUCAAGUACUCAACUCCCCAUUAAAUCUGUCGCCAUCACCACCCAGUAAAACACUCUUCAGCCCUUGCAAGCUCCCAUUUCAUUUUUGAAUUUUCCUUCCUCUCCAGAGUACUUGAUUGUAGCCUCCUAAAUCCAUGCAUCUCUUUUCUGCAUUCAAUGUUUUUGCUGCUCAAAUGUGGUUUUCGCUGCUACUACAGUGCUGAAAUGACCCUGAUUUGAGUAACAAAUGCAUUGUUCUUUCAAGACUUCUUAUCCUUGUAUUUUUUUUCAGCUAUGGAUACCAGCUUCCUGUUAUGCUUCUGCACUGCUCCCCACCUGUGUAGGGCCAUCACCAUUCUUGUCCAUCUGAACCUAGCCAUGAAUCAUCUGCAAUGCCUCCUCUACCCUUUGCCACACAUUUAUCCCUGGAGUUCCCCAAUAAUCUAUCCUUGGCCACCACCUGUUUAUCAUCUGUAUGCUGCCUCUUAUGUCAUCACUCAGAAACACAUCACAUUCCACAUGAAUGCUGACCAUGCCCAGUUCUCUCAAAUCUUCCACAUUAACCAUUUGUGAUGCUGCUUGUCCAACAUUCAAUAGUGGAUGAGCAAAAAUUGCCUGCAACUAAAUACUGAGAUGUUCGAGACGUUGGUCAGGAUUUUUCAUCCUGCAUCUUUGCUGACAGCAGCAAUCUUACAGCUAUUUUAAAUUCUGAGGAGCAUAAUUAACUGGAAAUGGGGCUUCUGCCCUUCACUUGUGUCUCAGUGCUGCCAGCCAAUCUGAUUGUCCUGUGUUUUCGCCAUUUCAGCAGUGUCAGUGGCAGCAUGUAUUUGGUCUGUGAAUCCACAAUAGGUCAAUGUAAAAUGCUCAUUGCUUUCAAUUCCACCACGAAUGCAAUUCCAAACCAUUACAGCAAAUAAUUUCUACCCUGUUAUCUGAAUGAAUGUUUCUACAUGUUUUGCAAGAUAAGUUUAUCAUAACAAGUACAAAACAUUAAGUUAUUUUCAACCGAUCCAUUUCGGGACAUGAGCUAUCAAACCUGGGUAACUGAGCACAUUGUUGACUAAAGUUGACCUUCAGUCUUUGAUCUUCCUUUGUGUACCACACCAGUCUGAAUUAUCUUGAACUCUAAUUGGCUGGUCAUGGAAAGCGUGAGUUCAAUUUCAGAUUGGCUAAACAGUCUUAAGCUAAUUCCUAAUUGGGUUGUUACUGAUAACACUUCUUACUAUCUCCUGGUUCUUUUUUGAAAUGUAAGUCAAACAUUUUUUUUCAUGACACCUUGUCCCAUUUACCUUCCAAAUUCAUAGAUCUCUACCAAGGUGACGUGGCGUUAGAAAAUUGGUCAUCUGCUUUGAGUAUGUAGUAUAAUCUCUCUUUUGCCCCCCCCCCCCCCCAGUAAUGUUAUACCGUAUAUACUUCCCAAUACGAUAUAUUCAAGUAUUCUCAUAUUCCAAAGCCUCUUCAUAUCCUUAAACUAAAAGAAUCAUGAGUCCACAAUUGUUGCCUAAAACUAAUCAAACUAUUAAUUACCCAAUUAAAUUAAUAACAUAGGCCUGUCACAUGCUUUAAGCUACAAAACAACAAUUUUAAAGCACAGUUGUACUUAUAAGAAAAAAUCUUUUAUCUAAAAUUAGAUUCACAUAUUUACUCCUUAACGGACUCAGGCAUAAAACCAUAAAUCCUACUUUUGACUGGGGCCAUAUUGCUAUUCUUUACAGAAAGUCUCUGUAGAAACUAACCUCAGUCAAAGUACAAUUUAGUUCAUCACUUCCUUAAUUAAGUCAAAAUUAUGGAAAAAUAACUCAAUCCUACAUCUGCCUCAGCUCAUUCACUGAAAGUCUGAUUUGUGUAUGUGUUACCUCUGGAUUUGAUUGUUCCCCUGUUCUUCUGGUCACCCUUCCAUUUUCCAAACUCCAAAACCUUCCUCUCAUCUAAACUUUGCUGACCAUAUCCUGUUUUACACCUGCGUUCCAGUUACACAUCCUGACGGUGCUCACCGUCCUCUGACGGCUCCCAAAGCAACACUUUGAUUGUAUGAUUCUUAUCCUUGUUUCCAGCAGCCUUCAUGGCAUUGUCUGUCUGUCUUGCUCUCUGGCAUGCUGGCUCAUUCUGGCUCUGCCUGUCUUCUCUGUCUGGCCUGUCUGUGCCCCUCACGAUUUUAUUAACCCCCAUAAAGUCACCUCCCAGCCUGCAAUGCUCCAGGGCAAACAGCCCCAGCCUAUUGUUGUUUGAUACGAUCCUAAGAGGAGGUUUGGGAUAUUUUUGUGGAAUUAGAGAGUCCCUCUAAUUUUACUGUCAGGGUUGCACUUGCAUACUUACAGUCCAUCAGUUUGUUUAUUUGUCACCACUCGAGUUCUUGCCAUCCACCCUCUUGUAGCAAUAUUUGGGCAUCCAGCCAAGACACAAGAAAGAAUGACAACUUGGGGUUAAACAUCAAUGAAGAUGUUCAGUAUCAAGAAGUUUUUGAGCUUUGGACCCAUUCUUUACAAGGAAUCUAAUGGCUUUAUGAGAGAGGAGGAUAAACGAUAUAAUGAGGACAAUAAUCUACCUUUUUCUGCUGUCAUUACCUCAUUGAAUUGUUUCAGAAGAGGAAUUGUGGUCAAGAAAUAGUGAACACUCCUUGCAAUAUAUUAGUCUGAGCUGAGCUCUGCCAUGGAUGUCAAUUUUAAUUUUAAAAUCUAAAUGAUUUUAAGUACUGUGGAAACUUGUGUUUCGCUUUCUAACGUAAGCUUUCAUUUGACCUUUAAAUGUAAGCUACUCAAUCAUAAAACACUGAACUUGGCUGAAGAUGAG